rnacentral:rRNA from 1 species
CCUACGGGAGGCAGCAGUGGGGAAUAUUGGACAAUGGGCGAAAGCCUGAUCCAGCAAUUCCGCGUGUGUGAAGAAGGCCUUCGGGUUGUAAAGCACUUUAGUUGGGGAAGAAACAGCUUGGCCACACCAAGCCUUGACGGUACCCAAAGAAUAAGCACCGGCUAACUCUGUGCCAGCAGCCGCGGUAAUACAGAGGGUGCAAGCGUUAAUCGGAUUUACUGGGCGUAAAGGGUGCGUAGGUGGUUUUGUAAGUCGGAUGUGAAAGCCUGGGGCUCAACCUCAGAAUUGCACUCGAUACUGCAAGACUAGAGUUCGGUAGAGGGCGGCGGAAUUCCCGGUGUAGCGGUGAAAUGCGUAGAUAUCGGGAGGAACAUCAAUGGCGAAGGCAGCCGCCUGGGCCUGAACUGACACUGAGGCACGAAAGCGUGGGUAGCAAACAGGAUUAGAUACCCUGGUAGUCCACGCUGUAAACGAUGAGAACUUGACGUUGGUUCGUUUUACGAAUCGGUGUCGCAGCUAACGCGAUAAGUUCUCCGCCUGGGGAGUACGGCCGCAAGGUUGAAACGUCAAAGGAUUGACGG